UCCAAUAGCGUAUAUUAAAGUUGUUGCAGUUAAAAAGCUCGUAGUUGAACCUUGGGCCUGGCUGGCCGGUCCGCCUCACCGCGAGUACUGGUCCGGCUGGGCCUUUCCUUCUGGGGAACCUCAUGGCCUUCACUGGCUGUGGGGGGAACCAGGACUUUUACUGUGAAAAAAUUAGAGUGUUCAAAGCAGGCCUUUGCUCGAAUACAUUAGCAUGGAAUAAUAGAAUAGGACGUGCGGUUCUAUUUUGUUGGUUUCUAGGACCGCCGUAAUGAUUAAUAGGGAUAGUCGGGGGCGUCAGUAUUCAGCUGUCAGAGGUGAAAUUCUUGGAUUUGCUGAAGACUAACUACUGCGAAAGCAUUCGCCAAGGAUGUUUUCAUUAAUCAGGGAACGAAAGUUAGGGGAUCGAAGACGAUCAGAUACCGUCGUAGUCUUAACCAUAAACUAUGCCGACCAGGGAUCGGACGGGAUUCUAUGAUGACCCGUUCGGCACCUUACGAGAAAUCAAAGUUUUUGGGUUCUGGGGGGAGUAUGGUCGCAAG
rnacentral:rRNA from 1 species